rnacentral:lncRNA from 1 species
UCCUUCUCUUCCUCCUUCUCCUCCUUCUUUUCCUCUUCGCCUUCACCUUCUCCUUCUCCUUCCUCCUCUGUCUCCUUCCUCUGCCUCCUCCUCUUCCUCCUCCUCUCCCCUCCUCCUCCUGCUGCUGCUGCUUGGAGAACCGCUAGAAUCUCAGAGGUUUGUGAAGUGUCUGACACAGCAGUUCUUCAAUCGGGUUUGCUAAAAAGUGAAUGGAUUAGACUUACUGAGUUCAGCUGAGACUUUCUGAACAUCAGUAGCAGAGCUUAGUGAUAUCCUUUAUGAUGACACAUGGCUUUUAUGAGUUUCUUGUUACACUUUUUUUUUCUACUUAGUGUUGUAUGAACUCAAAGCGUCGUUGAGGGUUCUCCUACUGGCUGGCCCAGUUCUUCUUCCUGAGUGGGCUCCAGGACCUUUCUAAAAUCAUUAAUCUACUGCUAUUUGUGUUUCAAGCUUUGAGGAGUAGCGCAGAGCUGCUGUGAAGAGCCACUUCUUUGUCUUUUUAGUCUGCACGCACUUCUGCAGCAGGCGCUGCCUGCCUUGGGCCCUUCCAGUGGUGAGGCGAGGUAAUACUGCUGCCCUGGACUAGCAUGCUCUCCUGCUCUGGGGAUGUCUGUGCUGAGUGAGCCGCUGUCUCCUCUAGGUUUGCGGGACUCUCGGGGCAGAGGGAAGUGUGACAGAAAUGACUGCCUUCAAACUGGGAGGUGCCCCACUGACCGAAGACUGCCUCGGCCCCGUCCAGUUGGUGAGCGGAGCAGGGCCGACUUCCACUGCGGGGGACGGCUUGCAGGCAGCUGCAGUCCCCAACGCCCCCAUUCCUGCCCCGUACCAAGCUGCUGUGCACAUAGGGCUCUAAGUUACAAGUAAAAAGCACAAGUAAGAAAGGAGGGA